rnacentral:lncRNA from 1 species
AGAGGAGGGGCAGAGAGAGCCAAAUUUUGCUGGCUUUGUUGUGGCCUCCUUCUGCCCCCUGUCAAGACUGGAGUCACUGAUCCCAGAUCUUCAGGAAUGGUAGUUUAUAAUGUCAGACAGACCGCCAGAUCCGGACAGUGACCCAAAGUCUCCAAAGAAGAUUACGAGGCACCUCAGUUCCUGCACCUGGACCAGUGAGAGAGAUGCUCAGAUGUGAUACCUGCCGCCUGCCAGAACCUGGCCGAGACUGUGGACAAAGCUGCUGGACACUGGAAAAUUGAUUACACCCCUUUGCCUAGACAAAACAAGGUCAGUCUUUUCCAUGUCCCUCUUCCACAGAGAGAAAAAAAACUCUCACAGUAUAGGCCUGGCGAAGAUUGCUGUUCUUUGAGACAGCUGCCUCCAACAGUAAUGGAGAAACUUGGGUUUGGCUAACUAUAUAUGGACUUGCUUCUGACUGGCUUCUGUCACUUUUUAGUAGAUUCGGAUAAAAUAUACCCUUCUCAGAUCUCUGAAAUAUUACUGGUUGUCAGCUUGACAGCAUCAGACAGUUAGAUCCACUAUAGACUAGUCAGUAUGUUAGCUGAUAAAAUAAUGACUAUCUACUGUUCAGGCACAAGCUCAAGGUUUUUAAGUUUAUUUUGGUUGUCAUCUAAGUACAAACUUAAAGGGCUUUUCAUCAGGCCAAAGGC